rnacentral:rRNA from 1 species
GACGAACGCUGGCGGCGUGCUUAACACAUGCAAGUCGAGCGGUAAGGCCCUUUCGGGGGUACACGAGCGGCGAACGGGUGAGUAACACGUGGGUGACCUGCCUUUAGCUCUGGGAUAAGCCUGGGAAACUGGGUCUAAUACCGGAUAUGACUCCAUGAUGCAUGUUGUGGGGUGGAAAGCCUUGUGCGGCUGGAGAUGGGCCCGCGGCCUAUCAGCUUGUUGGUGGGGUGANGGCCUACCAAGGCGACGACGGGUAGCCGGCCUGAGAGGACGACCAGCCACACUGGGACUGAGACACGGCCCAGACUCCUACGGGAGGCAGCAGUGGGGAAUAUUGGACAAUGGGCGCAAGCCUGAUCCAGCGAUGCCGCGUGUGUG